AUGAACGCUGGCGGCGUGCUUAACACAUGCAAGUCGAGCGAAGCGCUAAAGCGGAUUUCUUCGGAUUGAAGUUUUAGUGACUGAGCGGCGGACGGGUGAGUAACGCGUGGGUAACCUGCCUCAUACAGGGGGAUAACAGUUGGAAACGGCUGCUAAUACCGCAUAAGCGCACAGUACCGCAUGGUACGGUGUGAAAAACUCCGGUGGUAUGAGAUGGACCCGCGUCUGAUUAGGUAGUUGGUGGGGUAACGGCCUACCAAGCCGACGAUCAGUAGCCGACCUGAGAGGGUGACCGGCCACAUUGGGACUGAGACACGGCCCAAACUCCUACGGGAGGCAGCAGUGGGGAAUAUUGCACAAUGGGGGAAACCCUGAUGCAGCGACGCCGCGUGAGCGAAGAAGUAUUUCGGUAUGUAAAG
rnacentral:rRNA from 1 species